ensembl:lncRNA
GACGAUGGGGGUCUUGUCUAGGCCGCAGGGCGAGGCAAGGACGGAGGGCAGUGGGCUACAGCUGGGGAGGGGCUCCCUGGACCGUCCGCUCAUCUCAGGGGUUUGAGGUCGGCUGUGGCUCCUAGCCUGGAGCUAGGUGCCUGCCUUCAGACCCUGCCAAGAAAGGAGGCCAGCUGGGGGCCAGUGGUCUUGUCCUGGGGGGCAAUGGGGAGACGGGAGGCCGGGCCCUGGAUCCUGCAGCCAGGACCUGGGGGAGCUGAGCUGCCGCCCGGCUGGUCAGCGGGUGCAGCAGCCUCACCCUAGCAGCCCAGACAAGGGCCAGCCUCCUCGCGGGCAGUGCCCCAGGCCACUGAGGACACACGGCUGGCACCCUCUGUGCCUUCCCAGCAUUGGGUCGGGGUGGGCGGGGCCCUGGCUCCACAGACGCCAGCCCCCAGCCCCAGGCUCCCAGGAGUCACCACCGAGCAAGCCGCUGCCCUCUCUGCCGAGUCCUGGUGCCCUGCGGCCGCCACCGCCCACCCCGCCCCGUGCGCUGAGAUCGGCCUGGUGCACAGGUGGACAUGCUCGGGAAGACGGAGGCUUGGAGAAGAGCUGCGAGCCUAGGGCCGCAGAGCAAACUGGGGGCCAGCCGAGGCCGCAGCCCACCCCUCUGGGCUCCGCAGGCUAGAGGCUGGCCCUUUCGGGGGAGCUGUCCGCACCUGCAGAAGGCAGGCUGGGGUCCCUGGGACCCGGUCUGGGUCAGCCCUGGCUUCUUCUGGACCCUCCCUAGCUGGCAUCUCCCACUUGAACCGUGUGUGAAGUGCAAGCAGAGCAGCAUGCAUCAGCCAGGGCCCCGGAUCUCCGUCUGGCAAGGAGCCCAAGGAGCACUGGCUGGCGAGCCUGGGAAGACGGGGCUGGCAGCGUUCUCUACUGAGUGAGGGAACAGGAGCGGAGUGCCACCCCGACAGGAAGGGUGUGGACGGCAGCCAUUGCGCAGGACUGCGGCCUAGCUCUCCGCUCUCUGCUGUGGGGUCCUCGCCCUUCCCCAGCCUCCUUGCUUUAACGACGUGGACCUGCCCAGUGACCCCCACUCUGGGACAGUGGGCUCGGGCCCCAGGGGAACUGGAGGAUGAACAGGCCGGCCCGGGCCGGGCGAGCUGCUGAGCUGCAUCCUGCGACUCCAGGCUGGCGUCUCACCGGGAUGCUGUGAGGACCGUGGCCGGUGUUGCUGGCUGAGCUCUGGCUGGAUGCAGGCGGUGGCAGCUGGUCUCAAUCUCCCGGCCUCUCAGAUGGAUGCCUGCGAUGCCCCUGGCCAGGCAGGGGUGUGAAGCGGCUCUGAGCCAGUCUGCCCUGUUCCCAUGCAGGUGUCCAGAGCCCCUUCGAGGGGCCCUUGCGAACCCCAGAGAGGCUUCCUCUGUGGGCAGGGACACCCAGGAAGCCGGCUGCAGGCGGAGGAGACACCAGGGGGGCCUGGCUGGGGCCGGUCCGCUCCUAGGCCCAGUCUCAGAGGCGGACAGACCUGGCCUGGUCCCGCCCGUCACCCGUGGACGGUGCGGUCCUCUCAGGGCCCGGCCCCUCAUCUUGGGAACAAGGGUCACCGAGCCGCCCCUUGUCCCGCUGGCGCGAGGCUGACAAGGCUUGGAAAGGGCCUGCCGCAUGGGGGGCACCGGGCAGAGGCUCUGCAGCGUCAGCGGGCCUCCACCCAGGGCUCUCUGGGUGGGAAUGGCAAGAGCCCAGGCCCCAGGACAAGGCAGGGCUGACGCCAUCUAUUUAUUUAAGAGCGCUCUGCAGCCUCGGCUGGGGCCAAGCACUGUUCCGAUGGCUUUACACCACUUCAGUUCUCUCUGCAUCUGCAGGAGGUGAGCGAACUGAGUCAGCAAGAGGUUGAGAGACCUGUCUGAGGUCAAAGGGCUAGGAACGGGGAGGAGCCAGGAGGUGAGCCAGGCAGCUGGCUUCAGUCUGGGGUGCUGCCCGUCUCCCAGCCAUCGGGGGCCGAGGAGUCACCCAAAUUCCCGCCAGGGGCGCCCCAGCAAGCCAGAGGCCAUUCGGCCGUCAUGACGGCCCUGCUGCCGCAAGGGCCAGCUGGGAUCUCCCUGGGCCUCUGUCUCCUCGCGUGCAAGACGGGGCGGUGGGGGGAGCACUAAGGAGCAGUGAGGGCCAGUCUUCCUCUUCUGGGAUGGAGGGACUAGUCAAGAGUGGGCUGGAAGUACUGACGAUACUUCUCAG